GGACCCGCACAAGCAGUGGAGCAUGUGGAUUAAUUCGAAGAUACGCGAAGAACCUUACCAGGGCUUGACAUGGGGAUUAAAGCUUUAGAAAUAGAGUCAUAUACAAUCCCACACAGGUGGUGCAUGGUUGUCGUCAGCUCGUGUCGUGAGAUGUUGGGUUAAGUCCCGCAACGAGCGCAACCCUUGUCCUUAGUUACCAGCAUUCAGUUGGGGACUCUAGGGAGACUGCCGGUGUUAAACCGGAGGAAGGUGGGGAUGACGUCAAAUCAUCAUGCCCUUUAUGUCCUGGGCGUCACACGUGCUACAAUGGUCGGUACAAAGAGAAGCAAUAUCGCGAGGUGGAGCAAAUCUCAUAAAGCCGAUCUCAGUUCGGAUCGGAGUCUGCAACCCGACUCCGUGAAGCUGGAAUUGCUAGUAAUCGUGAAUCAGCCAUGUCA
rnacentral:rRNA from 1 species